AGAACGUCGUGAGACAGUUCGGUCCCUAUCUGUCGUGGGCGUUGGAGAUUUGAGGGGGGCUGCUCCUAGUACGAGAGGACCGGAGUGGACGUUCCGCUGGUGUUCGGGUUGUCAUGCCCAUGGCAUUGCCCGGUAGCUAUGAACGGAAGUGAUAACCGCUGAAAGCAUCUAAGCGGGAAGCACGCCCCAAGAUGAGAUCUCCCGAGAGCUUGACUCUCCUAAAGGCACCAUCAAGACCAGGUGGUUGAUAGGUCAGGUGUGGAAGCGCAGCAAUGCGUUGAGCUAACUGAUACUAAUGAGCCGUGCGGCUUGACCAU
rnacentral:rRNA from 1 species